GAUGAACGCUAGCGGCAGGCUUAACACAUGCAAGUCGAACGGCAGCACAGGUAGCAAUACUGGGUGGCGAGUGGCGCACGGGUGCGUAACGCGUAUGCAACCUACCUUUAACUGGGAGAUAGCCCGAAGAAAUUCGGAUUAAUACCCCAUAAUAUAUGUCUUUCGCAUGUUAGACAUAUUAAAGCUUCGGCGGUUAAAGAUGGGCAUGCGUAACAUUAGCUAGUUGGUAAGGUAACGGCUUACCAAGGCUACGAUGUUUAGGGGGCCUGAGAGGGUUAUCCCCCACACUGGAACUGAGACACGGUCCAGACUCCUACGGGAGGCAGCAGUGAGGAAUAUUGGUCAAUGGACGAAAGUCUGAACCAGCCAUGCCGCGUGCAGGAAGACGGCCCUACGGGUUGUAAACUGCUUUUGUAUAGGAAUAAACCCCCGACGUGUUCGGGGCUGAAGGUACUAUACGAAUAAGCACCGGCUAACUCCGUG
rnacentral:rRNA from 1 species